CCCCUCUCCCUCCAAAGAAAUUACACAUUUUCUUAAAUAAUUUUUAAGAACUGAAAAUGAUACAAAAUUUUUUAUACAAAUAUCUGGUGAAUAGUAAUGAUAUUCCAUGCUCUUGGCCCCUACUUAGCUUGGUGGCCGGGGCGGACCGCCCUUCGGACCCGCUGGGUACGGGCCAUCCUAAUUGUUUUUUCGACCAAAAAUGAUACGAACCGUCCACAUCUAUGGUGACCAUAUCGAUCCACAUACAAAAUUUGCAGUGGGAAUCCGAAUCUAACUCUUACCUCCGGGUGCUCAGCGGCUCUUUUAUAUGGCGGAAGGCUCCAGUGUUGGUAAAUUUUAUAAAAUUUUCAUAUUUUCUUAUUUAUGUUCAUAUUUUUAGUAACAAUUCAAAAACAAUAUGUAUAUAUAUAUAUAACAUUUUUUUC
rnacentral:lncRNA from 1 species